rnacentral:rRNA from 1 species
AACGAACGCUGGCGGCAGGCCUAACACAUGCAAGUCGAACGCUCCGCAAGGGGAGUGGCGCACGGGUGAGUAACGCGUGGGAAUCUACCUAUUAGUAAGGAAUAACAGUUGGAAACGACUGCUAAUUCCUUAUACGCCCUACGGGGGAAAGAUUUAUCGCUAAUAGAUGAGCCCGCGUAAGAUUAGCUAGUUGGUGAGGUAAUGGCUCACCAAGGCUACGAUCUUUAGCUGGUCUGAGAGGAUGAUCAGCCACACUGGAACUGAGACACGGUCCAGACUCCUACGGGAGGCAGCAGUGGGGAAUAUUGGACAAUGGGCGAAAGCCUGAUCCAGCCAUGCCGCGCGAAUGAUGAAGGCCUUAGGGUUGUAAAGUUCUUUCGCCGCCGAGGAUAAUGACGGUAAGCGGAUAAGAAGCCCCGGCUAACUUCGUGCCAGCCGCCGCUGUAA